UCCUUCGGGAGGCAGCAGUGGGGAAUAUUGGGCAAUGGGGGGAACCCUGAUCCAGCCAUGCCGCGUGUGUGAAGAAGGCCUUAUGGUUGUAAAGCUCUUUAAGCGAGGAGGAGGCUACUCUAGUUAAUACCUAGGCAUAGUGACGUACUCGCA
rnacentral:rRNA from 3 species